UGUCUGGUCGAGUGCGUACACGCAUAGAUAGAGGAACAGGAGAGAUAGUGGCUUACAGUGAUGCUGCUGUUCGGAACAAUAUGGCAGUCAUUGAGUACUGUAGAACAUCCAUGGCAGCUUUGUCUGGGGCUACAGCAGGGUCUUCAUUCUACAGACUUUCAGAAUCCUGCUUGGUGGUAUAAUUAGUAAAUAAAUGUUUUAUACAA